UACGUAGGGGGCAAGCGUUGUCCGGAAUUAUUGGGCGUAAGCGCGCGCAGGCGGUUUUUUAAGUCUAGUGUAUAAUCCACGGGCUCAACCCGUGUUCGCACUGGAAACUGGGAGACUGGAGUGUAGGAGAGGAAAGUGGAAUUCCACGUGUAGCGGUGAAAUGCGUAGAGAUGUGGAGGAACACCAGUGGCGAAGGCGACUUUCUGGCCUAUAACUGACGCUGAGGCGCGAAAGCGUGGGGAGCGAACAGG
rnacentral:rRNA from 1 species